AAAUGCGUAGAUAUUAGGAGGAACACCAGUGGCGAAGGCGACUCUCUGGACUGUUACUGACGCUGAGGCUCGAAAGCGUGGGGAGCAAACAGGAUUAGAUACCCUGGUAGUCCACGCCGUAAACGAUGAGUGCUAGGUGUUGGGGCCGACAGGUUUCAGUGCCGCAGUUAACACAUUAAGCACUCCGCCUGGGGAGUACGAUCGCAAGAUUGAAACUCAAAGGAAUUGACGGGGGCCCGCACAAGCAGCGGAGCAUGUGGUUUAAUUCGAAGCAACGCGAAGAACCUUACCAGGACUUGACAUCCCACAGACAGGAUUAGAGAUAAUCCCUUCCCUUCGGGGACUGUGGUGACAGGUGGUGCAUGGUUGUCGUCAGCUCGUGUCGUGAGAUGUUGGGUUAAGUCCCGCAACGAGCGCAACCCUUGCCUUUAGUUGCCAGCAGGUUAAGCUGGGCACUCUAGAGGGACUGCCGGUGACAAACCGGAGGAAGGUGGGGAUGACGUCAAAUCAUCAUGCCCCUUAUGUCCUGGGCUACACACGUGCUACAAUGGUCGGUACAACGGGUAGCCAACCCGCAAGGGGGAGCUAAUCCCAAUAAGCCGAUCCCAGUUCGGAUUGUGGGCUGCAACUCGCCCACAUGAAGUUGGAGUUGCUAGUAAUCGCGGAUCAGAAUGCCGCGGUGAAUGCGUUCCCGGGCCUUGUACACACCGCCCGUCACACCAUGGGAGUUGGUAAUACCCGAAGCCGUCGAGCUAACCUUUUGGAGGCAGACGUCGAAGGUAGGAUCAAUGACUGGGGUG
rnacentral:rRNA from 1 species